rnacentral:rRNA from 1 species
AAUGGGCGCAAGCCUGAUCCAGCCAUGCCGCGUGAGUGAUGAAGGCCCUAGGGUCGUAAAGCUCUUUCGCCUGUGAAGAUAAUGACGGUAGCAGGUAAAGAGACCCCGGCUAACUCCGUGCCAGCAGCCGCGGUAAUACGGAGGGGGUUAGCGUUGUUCGGAAUUACUGGGCGUAAAGCGCGCGUAGGCGGAUUAGUAAGUCAGAGGUGAAAUCCCGGGGCUCAACCCCGGAACUGCCUUUGAUACUGCUAGUCUUGAGUUCGAGAGAGGUAAGUGGAAUUCCGAGUGUAGAGGUGAAAUUCGUAGAUAUUCGGAGGAACACCAGUGGCGAAGGCGGCUUACUGGCUCGAUACUGACGCUGAGGUGCGAAAGUGUGGGGAGCAAACAGGAUU